AGAAGGUAAAGUGACUGAAAAAGAAGUUAGAGGCGUAGGUAGGGCCACUAAGUCAUGUAUACUUUUGACUGUCAUUUCAAAGCAUUUGAGUUUUAUAUAAACCACAAUGGGAAAUCAUUGGAAGACUGUAUGUUUCCUCAUGUUUUCAAGUGAAUUUUGAGAAAGACUAUUGAAGCAAACAUAGUUCCCUUGGUCAUCAUUCCCACAUUUGGCAGAUAAUGAUUAGAUAGUAACAAUAAUAGAGACACCAAACCCAUGGAUCCUGUAUUCAAAUCUGUUCUCAAGUCUUCCAUGAUAGCAAAUCAUCUGAUCAAAGCAUUGAGCUUGGCUCUGUCACUCAUUACGGGCAUGUGAUUGAACAUCCUGGGUUCCAGGUGUAACUUCUUUGGAAAAUGAGUUAGCUGAAGAAGGUUCAAAUCACUGUUCUACCACCCACCAGCUGUGUGAUGCCAAGCAAAUCACUUCUCUUCUCGGGAUCCAUUUCUCUACCUAUAAAUCAGAAUUACUCAUUUCACACUCUCAGAAUUAUAGGUGAGAAUUACAUGAGUUAAUGUAUGUCAAUAUGUACAUUACUUGACAAGUGACAAAUGACCAGUUCUUCAAAUUGUACUGAUCUCUAUCUGCACACUAUGCCAACCUUGUCUUAGAAGAUAUUUCCAUCUUAGAAAGGAAGGAUUACCCACUAGUCAUGGAUUCAUCACUUUUGUAUGCUAAAAUGUUCUAGAAUUGAGUUUUUAAAGCUUUAUCUUGUCUAACAAUGGACAAGCUUUUAUAAUACAUUGUGGAAAGAAUACAAGAGGAGCUAAUUAAAGAUGCUAUCAGCUUUUUAUCUUUUUUAAAAAUUUGUUUCUUUACUAUUUCCUCCACAACUGGUAGUAGUUCAAGACCAAAUAAAACAGGACUUCAGCAAUACUUCAAGAAACCAGUAACCAAACCAACUUUAAUUUGAGCAUUUUCAGAUUUCUAUCACUAGCAAUAAAGAAACUUCAACAAUUCUCAUUAGAUAUGACUAUUUGUUAUGUUUCAGAGUGGAACUAAGUGUCCCACACUGCUGUUUCAAUAUGUCAAGCUAAAUGGUUUCAAAAUCUCCUAUGAUUCAGCUUUUGUUCAACCAAGCACAGUGGGCUGAGAGCUAUGCUAGAUGUGAUUCUUCAGAAGGAAAUGGACCCCUUUUCAGUUCAUGCUGUACUAGGGCUAU